UACGGGGGAUGCAAGCGUUAUCCGGAUUUAUUGGGUUUAAAGGGUGCGUAGGCUGUGAGGUAAGUCAGCGGUGAAAUGCCCCCGCUCAACGGGGUGAAGUGCCAUUGAUACUGCCUUGCUGGAAUGCGGAUGCCGUGGGAGGAAUGUGUGGUGUAGCGGUGAAAUGCAUAGAUAUCACACAGAACACCGAUUGCGAACGCAUCUCACGAAUCCGCGAUUGACGCUGAUGCACGAAAGCGUGGGUAUCAAACAGG
rnacentral:rRNA from 1 species